UGGAGAUGGAGCUCUGCAGGUCAGUGAU
rnacentral:piRNA from 1 species